rnacentral:lncRNA from 1 species
UACACCAAGGUGUCGAUUAUGAGGGAGAAUCGAACAUGGGAUUAUGUACCAAAAGAAACCUUAUCUUUCAAUGACGAGGAUGUAGAAGGGAUUGUACAAACUCAUAAUGAUGCACCAGUAAUAUAUAUACUUGUGAAUGAGAUUAAAUUUAAAUAUGUUUUAAUUGAUCCAGGUAGCUCGGCCAACAUCAUUCGAUCAAGGGUCGUAGAACCAUUCGGCCUGCAUGAUCAGGUUGAGCCGCAACUUGAGUGCUAAACGGCUUCAACAUGGCAUGUGAAACCACCAAAGGCAAAAUAACUUUGCCAGUAAACAUGGCUGGGACCAUCCAAGAAUCAAAGUUCCAUGUGAUCGAGGGUUAUACGAGGUACAAUACACUACUCGAAGACCGUGGAUCCACAACAUAAGGGCAAUGGCAUCGACCCAUCACAAGGUCCUAAAGUUCCCAAAACCAGAGUGAGUCAAAACAAUCUAUUGGAAGCAACCCGCCACCAAAGAAAUGUUUGCCUUCGACGAAGUGAUACCGAUAUCGACUAUCUCAUCAAUGAAGGAUUCAAAUUCGAAGGGAAAAUAAUAGGUCAAAUAGCAACCACAAACAUCAGCCUUGGCCCAAUCGGAGAAGCAGGGGAAUGAUGAAGAUGAUGAUCACAUGGUUCCUCGAUACUUCAUAAUACCCGAUGAUUUCGAUGCCAAAAAAUCAAUGGUCAAAGAGCUGGAAAAAUCAAGUAGAUCGAGCACCUACCCUAUCGAAUGGCAUACCUGGGCACGGGGCUAACUCCCGAGCUCAGGAAAAAAACCUAUUCAACUCUUUAUAACUAAUAUGUAUUAUUUUUCUUGGCCCCAUCUCGAUAUGACAAGGAUCCCACUAGAGAUCACUUCUCUUAAAUUGAGCUUGGACCCAAAGAUUCACCCUGUGAAACAAAACAAGAGACCUCAGUCCGAGAUCAAAUAGAAUUUCAUCAAAGACGAGGUAAUCAAAAUUCUCAAAAUAGAGUCUAUCCAAGAAGUAAAUAUCCAGAAUGGUUAGCGAAUAUUUUAGUAGUCCCUAAGAAGCGAAGCAAGCUUAGAAUAUGUGUACACUACAAAGACCUAAUAAAGCAUGCCCUAAGGAGUCUUUUCCUUUGCCUAACAUCGAUCACAUGAUCGAUACCACGGCCGGCCAUGAGAUCCUCAGUUUUCUUGACGCCUAUUCCGGGUAACACAAAAUACAGAUGAACCCAAAUGACUAGGAAAAAACAUUAUUCAUCAGUAACUAUGGUACCUACUGCUAUAAUGGAAUGUCGUUCAGACUAAGAAGUGUUAGUGCAACCUAUCAACGCCUAGUAAACCAAAUGUUAGAAAACCAAAUAGGGAAAUCUAUGGAAUUUUAUAUUGAUGACAUGCUAGUUAAGCUCCUAUGAGCAGAGGACCAUUUGAAACAUUUGCAGGAAACUUUCAGUAUACUAAAGAAAUACAUGAUGAAUCUCAAACAAAAAAAAGUGCAUUCGGAGACGGGUCCAGCAAGUUUUUUGGAUUCAUUCUGUCGAAUCAGGGAAUCGAGAUCAACCCCAAUAAGAUCCAGGCUAUCGAUGAUAUCACGAUAAUAGAUAAUGUGAAGGCUGUACAAAGGCUAGCCGGGCACAUUGUAGGCCUUGGUCGAUUCAUCUCGAGAUUGUUCGAUAGAAGUUAUCUGUUCUUCUCAUUGCUGAGAAAGUAGAACAACUUCACAUGGACCCCUGAAUGCCAACAAGCUUUAGAAGAAAUUAAAUGGUACUUGUCGAGCCCACCGCUUCUUCACACAUCGAAGGCAAACAAAUAUGUUUACAUAUAUCAGGCAUUAUUGGAGAUAGAGGUAAGUGGAGUCCUAGUACGAGAAGAACAAGGCACACAAUUUCCUAUUUAUUAUGUUAGUUGGACCCUAGGUGAGGCCGAAACUAGGUAACCUCGUCUAGAAAAAUUGGCGCUCGCUUUGAUAAGCGCCUCUAGGAAAUUAAAACCAUACUUUCAAUGCCAUCUCAUAUGUGUUGUAGCAACUUAUCCUCUUCGAAACAUUUUGCAUAAGCCCAAACUUUCGGAGCGAUUGUCCAAAUGGGUCAUAGAAAUCAGCGGGCACAAGAUUUAAUAUUGUCCCCACCAGGUUCGCCCUCCGUGAACCAUCAUGACAUCACCUAGUCUCUAUGACAAGGUAAGCGUAACAAUGUGGAAAUGAAACCAUGAUUGCAAAAGAAGUAAUUAAAACUGAACUAGUAAAGUAAAAUAGUACUUACGGUACCGCUCGGCACUUGUAAUUAACAUCUCUAGAAACUAAUAACAUUUCCAAAACCCAGAAUCUCACAAAUCACAAGCUAAGGGAUACAUAAGAAGCUCUAACUCAAGAAACAUCUAAACAAAGGAAAGAUACUGAACGGGCUAUACUUAUUAUAGAAAGAUAGAGAGGGACUCUUCGGUCUGCGGACGUAGCAGAUAUACCUCGAAGUCUAUAGAGAAAUGCCUCCUUCCAAGGCUGAGAAAACUGAGUGGGGGUACCUGGACCUACAAAACCAAAAUGUGCAAAAGAGUAGCAUGAGCAAACCAUAACGGUGCCUAGUAAGUAUCAAGACUAACCUCGGUAGAGUAGUGACAAGGAACAGUCAAGACACCUAUCGGUCAAACAAAAAAAAUUAUGAGGGCAAUGGAACAUGAUAUAUAUAUGUAUGUAUAUAUGAUAAGACUGUACGAAAUGACCAAUAAUGCUACAAUCACAAUGGGGGAAGAAACAAUAAGUAACACGAGAAUAUAAAGAAUGAUGACACAUAAUCACGACAAGAUAUAAUCCAAACCCUAAGAUCAUAAUAAAGAAAAGGAAACACAAACAAUAACUCGGGUCCUACGGUAGUGUCCAAAUCAGGUCUUAUUUAACAAUUUCCACAAAUUUUCCAAAUCUUUGACAAAUCACAACUCACUUGUACCGUCAUCCGAAAUCUACACUUCGCAUCCUGUGCCUCCAUCAAGCUUACGGUCAUAUUGUCAACUAACUGGCUAACUAGGGCCACUCUCCCAUAUAAAAUGAUGAAAUAAGGACGUGCCUCUAUGCCUAGAAAAAUCAGGGAACUUCACCUGCAAUAGGAGUGUUUCAACUGAGUAUAUACUUUUUACGAGUGCAUUAACAAGAUUUCCACUAGCUAAUAAAGAUAAGAAGAAGAUCGUGCAGCAUACACAAUGUUCCCUCACCACAUCCAGAAGAUAAAUUUCAUACAGGAAGGCAAACCACAAUCAAAAUAUUAAAUAAAAGUAGAAAUGCCUCCACAGGACGUCACCGUCCUAACAUUCAAUCCCUGACAUAGACCUCCUUAUUUCACCACAUGUGCAAUUAAUAACAUAAUAUGUACCGCCUUAUUUCACCACACGUGCAUCAUAAUAUUCCUACCUUAUUUCUCCACAUGUGCAACCCAUAUAUAAGCAUAUAAACAUAUCCAGACUUGUUACGCCGAUGUGCAAGAUAUCAAUAGCAACAGUAGCACGGCAAAUGACAUGGUGCAAGCCCUCAACAGCAAUCGCAUGGCAGAAACCUCGUGCCUCACAAUAUCAAUAACAUCACGACAGAAACCUCGUGCCUCAAAAUAUCAAUAACCGCACGGCAGAAACUUCGUGCCUCACAAUAUCAUUAUCCACACGUCAAACCUCAUGCAUCAACACCCCAAGUAUAACAGCAAUAAAUACAAUAUAUGCAAAAGCACACAAAAUAAGAAUUAACUUAAUGAUCUUUUGUUCACGGGGGACAAUAAGACUAACUCACAAGGAAUAAUCACAAUAGAGAAUACUAAACAUAAUAAGAACAACUUAAUAAGGAAGAAAUUUAUAUGAAGCAACGACCCCAUAGCAUGUAGUUCAACAACAAGGGAAUUAACAAGAGUCAAGUAAUUUCAAAUAAGGAAAUACCAAUUACACAUAAAAUGUCUACUCUUCUUUUAAGAUUGGGCAGGUUACGAAGGAUAUACAACAAUUUCAAUUAAGACUAAAUAAUUGCGUAAGAGAUAAUAAUGAUUUUCAUUGAAAACAAGAAGUUAGGAAAGAUAAGCGACCAUGGAGGAGGUAAAGAUCUUCAGUUAAGUAAGGUAAGAGUCAGGUAGGAAAAUAAGAAUGAACCAUAAGGCAAUUAAUUCCAAGUAAACAUGUAGAGGUGGAACUAGUAAUAGAAAAAUUAGAUCUUAAUUACCUAAGAGAUAACAAUGAUUUCCAAUGAAAAUAAGCAGUUAUGAAAGAUAACGCGGCCAUAGAGGGGGUAAAGAUCUUCAGUUAAGUAAGGUAAGGGUAAAUUAGGCAAUAAAAAUGAACCAUAAAGCAAUUAAUUCCAAGCAAAACAUAUAGAGGUGGAACUAGUAAUAGAAAAAUUCAAUCAUAUCAAAAACAACAUUCAUACUUAGUGAAUAGAAGGACCUAAGAACCUAAAAAGCCAAAUUUUCCCGCAAAUAAAUCUGAGCACGUACUCGUCACCUCGCAUACACAGAAUACAAUUAGCAGAGAAGAGAAGGACCUAAGAACCUAAAAAGCCAAUUUUUCCCACAAAUAAAUCUGAGCACGUACUCGUCACCUCGCAUACACAGAAUACAAUUAGCAGAGAAGACUGCAGUUCUAGAGGAAAGUCCCCCACACAAGGUUAGGUAAGAUACUUACCUCGAACUGGCUCAAAAAUCAACUAGAAAACAUGCCUUUAUCACGAGUAUCUGACUCCAAAUGGCCCCAAAUCUAUUCAAUUCAAUUACAAACCGUAAAUAAUAUCUCAAAAAAUGAUUCCAAAAUUAAACUCUAAGCUAAUAUGCGAACUUAUAUGAAAUGAUAAAAAUGCCCCUCAAGCCAACAUCUUGGUAUCGGAUAAAAAUAAUAUUUUCAGAAAUCUCAUACGCUCACGAUUCUAUACAUAACAAGAACACAAAAAUUGGAGUCCAAAUGACCCCUCAAAUUCUAGAUUAAAAAUUCAAAGUUCCAAGCCCUAGUUCUCCCAUUUUUGUGCAAGUUUCCAAGAAUUUCUAGGUUAAUUUCACAAUAGAAUCACGUUUUAGGUUCAGAAAUAUUACCUCCAACCGAUUCUCCUUGAUACCUUCUUGAGUCUCUCUCAAAAAUCUCUAAAAAUACUCAGCUAUGGAGGAAAAAUCGCUCAAAAUCGAUGAUGAAAUAUUUUAUAAGCUUUAUCCCUAAUCCUGAACUUUCUUCAUCGCGUUCGUGACUACUGCCUCGUGAAUGUGAAGGAAAAAUUGUAAAAACCUCAAAAAACUCUACGACGAACGCGAACCAAACACUGCGAACGCGAUAUAUAAUUUUCCAGACCAAUGCGAAUGCGAGACCAUAAUGCGAACGCGGAGGGUAAUUUCCACUAGACCCCAAUUCCUUAUACGUGAACGCGAGAGGCAAUGAGCGAACGCGAAGCACAAACAUCUGACCUUCCGCGAACGCAGUCCCAUAGAUGCGAACGCGAAGAUAAAAUUGCCUGCCUCCCAAUUCCUUCCUCGCGAACGUGAAGAGAAAUUUAUCUGCAACACCUGAAAUGAAAAAUUACAACUAUUAAACUUAGAAAAUGGUCCAAUUGACUACCCGAAACUCACUUGGGGCCCUCGGGAGCUCAACCAAAAGCACUAACACCUCCCAGAAUCUCAUUCAAACUUUUUCCAAUCAUCGAAACACCUCAAACAAUAUCAAAUCCAUAAAAUCACAUUGAAUUCAAGCCUAAGUUUUCUAAAAACUUCCGAAAUACGCUUUCAAUCAAAACCACAACCAACUCAUGUCCGAAUGACCUAAAAUUUUACACGCACAUCCCUAAUGACAUAACAAAGCUUCAACAAGUCUAGAAAUUCCAUUGUGAACAUCGGUUCAAAUUCUCACUUAUCAACCGGAAUUCGCAAAAUAUUAAUUUUUCCAAUUCUAGCCUAAUUCUACAUCGGACCUCCAAAACAAAUUUCGGUCACGCUCUUAUCCCCGAAAUAACCUAAAAAGCUAACGAAACCCUCAAUUUCCAUUACAAGGUCGUAUUUACACUGUUCCGAGUAUGGACAACUUUCCAACACUAAAGCUCUCAUUUAGUGACUAAGUAUCCCAAAACUCUCCGAAACUCAAAACCGAGCAUCCCAAAAAAUUAAAAAUAGUAGAAAUGAACUUGGGAAAAAUAGUUAACAGGGGAUUGGGAGUUAAUUCUUAAGAGGACCGUCCGGGUCGUUACACCUCCCCCUCUUGAAACUAAUAUUCGUCCUCGAACGUGAUAAGAUUUGCCUCAAAGUCCUCAAGUCACUAAAUGUACACUUCUAACAUACACAUGCGAGUAAUCACAUAACACCGCAAUCCACAUAAGCAUAACGACACCAUCUCAACUGAAAUUUAGCCUUUCCAGCAAUACCGACGAGCCUCAUACCCAUAAUUCUCACCUUCCAUCCAUUUCCAAAAGACCUGAUUCUAAAUUCAUAUCCGGUAUCAGUCUUAAACCGCUACUUCAAUUCAUGCCAGCACCCACAGGGUACAACCACACAACAUGACACAUCACACAUAGGAACAUAAUAACAUUUUUGAUAACAAUAAUUGCCUAAGAUCAAAUCUGCACCGGCCAUAAGCCUCAAAUUCUAUAGGAACAGUUUUCAACCCUCCACAUCAAUGGAGAUGAUAUAACAAAAACAACAACAACAAAAACAACUACCCAGUAUAUUCCCACAAAGUGGGGUCUGGGGAGGGUAAUAUGUAGACGAGCCUNNNNNNNNNNNNNNNNNNNNNNNNNNNNNNNNNNNNNNNNNNNNNNNNNNNNNNNNNNNNNNNNNNNNNNNNNNNNNNNNNNNNNNNNNNNNNNNNNNNNNNNNNNNNNNNNNNNNNNNNNNNNNNNNNNNNNNNNNNNNNNNNNNNNNNNNNNNNNNNNNNNNNNNNNNNNAGGGCAGAGAGGCUGUUUCCAAUCGACCCUCGGCUCAGUGAAGGAAAGGAAAAACAAAAACAAAAACAAAAACAAAAACAAAAGAGCAUUAGUUACUCCAACAAAAUAGCGUAAAUAAUUAUCUAAACAUAAGAACAUAUAUAAAAUAACAUGCAAUAAUAUCAUACAGUAACUAGCAUAAAUAACUACAAUAAGGGAGACACAAUCCAAAACACAAAUCAUCUAUGAAUAGCCCUGCCAAGCCUCACCCAACCCCGGGUGAGUAGGACGUAAAACUCUAGGGGUCCCUAUGCUACAACCCUGAUACUAGACCUCCAGGCUUUACUAUCAAGGGCCAUGUCCUCGGAAACCUGCAUUGUAGCGAUGUCAUGCCUAAUCACCUCUCCCCAAUACCUCUUAGGCUUCCCUCUGCCUCGCCGAACGCCAACCAUCGCCAGCCGUUCAUAACUCCUCACCGGGGCAUUAGGGCUUCUCCUCUGCACAUGCCCGAACCACCUCAGCCUCGGGGUAGCCUUGCCAAGCCUCACCCAACCCCGGGUAAGGAGUGUGAAAAACUCUAGGGGCUCCUAUCCUACAACCCUGAUACUAGACCUCUAGACUUUCCUAUCAAGGGUCAUGUCCUCGGAAANNNNNNNNNNNNNNNNNNNNNNNNNNNNNNNNNNNNNNNNNNNNNNNNNNNNNNNNNNNNNNNNNNNNNNNNNNNNNNNNNNNNNNNNNNNNNNNNNNNNNNNNNNNNNNNNNNNNNNNNNNNNNNNNNNNNNNNNNNNNNNNNNNNNNNNNNNNNNNNNNNNNNGUCCCCCUGAAUCACCGACCCAAGAUAUCUGACACUGUCCCUCUUGGCGAUGACCUGAGAUCCAAUCAUCAUGUCCCUGCCUACUCCGCUCGGCUCGGCGCUAAACUUGCACUCCAGGUAUUCUGUCUUAGAUCUGCUUAUUUUGAAACCCUUAGAAUCAAGAGUCUUUCUCCAUACCUCUAACCUCUCAAUAACGCCGACCCUCGUCUCAUCAAUCAAGACUAUGUCAUCAGCAAAUAGCAUACUCCAAGGCACAUCCCCUUGAAUAUGUCGGGUAAGAGCAUCCAUCACCAAGGCAAAAAAGAGAGGGCUAAGCGCUGAUCCUUGAUGGAGCCCCAUAACCACUGGAAAAUGGUCUGAGUCGCCACCCACCGUCCUAACCCUAGUCUUAGCUCCAUCGUACAUGUCCUUUAUUACUCUGAUGUAGGCUUUCGGCACGCUCGUCGCCUCCAAGCACCUCCAUAGAACCUCCCUUG